UGCUCUAAUCUCCACCCUGAAGUUCAAUUGUUAGCUGAGGUUGUUGGCAAAUGAAUGCAUAAGGACUAUCUUUAAGGACAUGAGAUACUAGGAUUUCAUCCCAGUGACUGCAAAUGGAGGAACAUCAGGUAAUGGUAAAAUGGCAGGAGUGUUUCCAGUUCAGCAGUGCAGCUGCCCUUUUUCUGAUACUCAGGAACAAAGCUGGUGCAGGCAGCAGAGGAGAAAGCACAAAGAUGUUUGAGGAAAAAUUGGGCUGAUGGACAAUAAAGGAUGGCAUUGCUGGUGGAGUAGAGGCCAAUGUCUUGAUAAAUAUGAGAGAGAGGUCAUUCUGCAACACAUGUGGGUGGUCACCAGCUGUUCCUCACCUCAGUCAAGCCUCUGGUUGGAUACAAUGGCACCUACGGUUACAGAAGAAACACUCCAUCUCUGCGCAGG